AGAUGUGGGUAGUCCGCACGAGCGCACCCUACCUUAGUUGCCAUCGGGUUAUGCCGGGCACUUUAGAGGGGACUGCCGGUGACAAGCCGGAGGAGGGUGGGGAUGACGUCAAGUCCUCAUGGCCUUUAUGACCAGGGUCUACACACGUGUUACAAUGGGAGUUACAGAGGGAAGCUAAACCGCGAGGUCAUGCCAAUCCCAGAAAAACUUUCUCAGUUCGGAUCGCAGUCUGCAACUCGACUGCGUGAAGCUGGAAUCGCUAGUAAUCGCGGAUCAGCACGCCGCGGUGAAUACGUUCCCGGGCCUUGUACACACCGCCCGUCACACCAUGGGAGCCGACAAGGGCAGAAGUCGCCGAGCUAACCUUCGGGAAGCAGGCGCCCAAGCUGUUGUUGACGACUGGGGUGAAGUCGUAACAAGGUAGCCGUAGGAGAACCUGCGGCUGGAUCACCUCCUUUCU
rnacentral:rRNA from 1 species